rnacentral:rRNA from 1 species
UCUUUGUCAUCUAGAGGAAGUAAAAGUCGCAACAAGGUUUCCGUAGCUGAACCUGCGGAAGGAUCAUUACAAAACCCACGCCCGGGUCAGUUUGCCGGCCAGUGCGCCGCCCCCCGAGCGGCGCCCGACCCCCCACACCCUCUGCGUACGCAUCCCUGUUGCUUCCCCGGGCGCUGGCUCGGCGCCGCCCCGGGGGAGGGCCACCCAGGAGCACACGAUGCCGACCAACCAUCCGGCCAUUCCACCUGUCUGAAGGCCGAAGGGCCGAGCAAGGAGGAGAGAGAGAGAGAGGAAAUCAAUCGAAACUAAAGAAAACUUUCAACAACGGAUCUCUUGGUUCCCGCAUCGAUGAAGAACGCAGCGAAAUGCGAUAAGUAAUGUGAAUUGCAGAAUUCAGUGAAUCAUCGAAUCUUUGAACGCACAUUGCGCCCCCUGGCAUUCCGGGGGGCAUGCCUGUUCGAGCGUCUCCGGAAUGAAGGCUCACGCGGGGGGACCGCGUGGUGGUGGCGGCGGCGGCGGCCCCGACGAGGGGAGCCACCCCGCCGGAAUCAAUGGGCGGACCGCCUGUCGCGGUGCCGAGCGUGAUAAGACGCAUCAGCGCUCGAGCGCGGCGAGGCUUCCCAGCCCCUGGCCCCAAGCGUUUGGGCGGGGAGAGCGAGACAAUGGAACUCCUCGAAUCA